UUUUUAUUUUAUUACUAACAUUUAAAAAUACAUAAUUACAAAUUUACAACAAUUAAACAAUAAUCAAUUACAUAAAAAAUAACCAAUUAAGCAAUAACUAAGAAGCAUAUAUAACUAUAUAAUAUACCAUGAAAGAUUGAAAUUGAAACUUGAAAGUCAAAGCUUCAAAUCGGUUUGGGUGAGAGUGGGAGGAACUCGGGUCGGGUUGGUCCUGUUGGAACUUGGAAGCUUCGGCCUUGGGCUUGGAGCAACAGAUCGGCCGACAAUGGAACACGGCAGGCGGCAGCAGAUCGAGGCAACAGAUCAUGACAGUAGGAAGUGGGUAGAUCGAGGCAGCAGUUCACGACAGAUCAAGGCAGAUCACGGCAGCAGGAAGUGGGCAGAUCAGCGCUAGCAAGAUGUGGGCAGCAGAUCGCGGGGUGGCUGACUGGCUGUGGCCUGUGUGUGCGUGGGUGGGUGGCUGGCUGCUAUGUGUGCUCUAUGUUCCGUGGAGACUUGAGAGUGGAGCGGCUGUGGUGUGGCGGUUGGCCUGUGUGUGUGAGUUGUGAAUCUUGUGAUUUUGUUUUUGUGUGUGAGAGCUGAGACUUGAGAGUUGAGAGUCAUAGACUCACAGUUGUGAUUUUGUGUGUGU
rnacentral:lncRNA from 1 species